rnacentral:rRNA from 1 species
UACGAACCGGACAAACGUUAUUCGGAAUUAUUGGGCUUAAAGGGUGCGUAGGCGGUGUGGUAAGUGAGGUGUGAAAUCCCUCGGCUCAACCGAGGAAUUGCGCUUCAUACUGCCAUGCUAGAGGGAGACAGGGGUAAGCGGAACUGAUGGUGGAGCGGUGAAAUGCGUUGAUAUCAUCAGGAACACCGGUGGCGAAAGCGGCUUACUGGGUCUUCUCUGACGCUGAGGCACGAAAGCUAGGGUAGCGAACGGG